rnacentral:rRNA from 1 species
UACGUAGGGUGCGAGCGUUAAUCGGAAUUACUGGGCGUAAAGUGUGCGCAGGCGGCUUCGCAAGUCGAGUGUGAAAAUCCCCGAGCUUAACUUGGGAAUUGCGCUCGAAACUACGGAGCUGGAGUGUGGCAGAGGAAGGUGGAAUUCCACGUGUAGCGGUGAAAUGCGUAGAGAUGUGGAGGAACACCGAUGGCGAAGGCAGCCUUCGUGGGCCAGCACUGACGCUCAUGCACGAAAGCGUGGGGAGCAAACAGG